rnacentral:rRNA from 1 species
CCUACGGGUGGCAGCAGUGGGGAAUAUUGCACAAUGGGGGAAACCCUGAUGCAGCGACGCCGCGUGAGUGAAGAAGUAUCUCGGCAUGUAAAGCCCUAUCAGCAGGGAAGAAGAAAGACGGAACUUGACUAAGAAGCCCCGGCUAACUACGUGCCAGCAGCCGCGGUAAUACGUAGGGGGCAAGCGUUUCCCGGAUUUCCUGGGUGUAAAGGGAGGGUAGACGGCUGUGCAAGUCUGAAGUGAAAGCCCAGGGCACAACCCUGGGACUGCAUUGGAACCUGUGGGGCUAGAGUGCUGGAGAGGUAAGUGGAAUUCCUGGUGUAGCGGUGAAAUGCGUAGAUAUUAGGAGGAACACCGGUGGCGAAGGCGGCUUGCUGGACAGUAACUGACGUUGAGGCUCGAAAGCGUGGGGAGCAAACAGGAUUAGAUACCCUAGUAGUC